rnacentral:miRNA from 1 species
UAUUCCAUCUUCUAAGGUCUUCUUUAAUUUCUUUCUUUAGCGUUCUGUAGUUUUCGUUGUAGAAGUCUUUCACCUCUUUUGUAAUGAAAAGAAAGAAAUUAAAGAAGAUCUUAGAAGAUGGAACAA